UCUACAGUCAUAGUGCUCGACUCCCUGUACCUGAUUCUUGCUCCCUGUGAUCUCCCAGUUUGGAUUUUGCUGCAUGGUUUCAUUGACGCAUCAAGAAGAGGAGAGGAAGCUCCGUGUGGAGGAACUUCUGGGGUCUUCUCAGAACAGCUGGAAAUGUUACAAAUCAAGUUUGUUCCAGUCAAAGAUGGCAGCUUAUGAAGGCUUUUUUUCCCACAUCCGAGUUCAUACCCUUGGAACUGAGGACAGAAUAUGUCUUUAAACGACGCCUGGAAGGCCCUGGACUCUUUAGAAGGAGAUAGUUUGAGAGCAUUAAUGCAGGGGCCACUAAAGCGGCUCUGCACAUUACUCCACCAUGCGUCACUUUGGAGCAUAUGAAAGGGGCCAGCGUGAUGCAGUAGGGAGAAACAGGGCCUCCUAAGUCAGCAGCAGAGAAUGAAUUAUUAAUGGGUAUAAAUCUCAAACAGAGGGAUGCAGCCGAUACUAACGUCCACUGGCAUAAGGGGCCACAGAGACCUGCACUGUCUCGAUGUAAACUGGUGGCUUCACACAGCUGUCAUCUGAGGACGUCGGAGAUCACUCCAGAGACGAGAGAGCUCAACAGAGAUCAUCGCCACGUCCACGCCAUCGCAGUAAACAUUAACAGUGCA